rnacentral:rRNA from 1 species
UAAGGAAUAUUGGACAAUGGACGCAAGUCUGAUCCAGCCAUGCCGCGUGAAGGAUGAAUGCCCUCUGGGUUGUAAACUUCUUUUAUAGGGGAAGAAAGAUACUUUUUUUAAGGUAGUUGACGGUACCCUAUGAAUAAGCACCGGCUAACUCCGUGCCAGCAGCCGCGGUAAUACGGAGGGUGCAAGCGUUAUCCGGAUUUACUGGGUUUAAAGGGUGCGUAGGCGGGCAUGUAAGUCAGUGGUGAAAUACCGGAGCUUAACUUCGGAAUUGCCAUUGAUACUAUAUGUCUUGAAUAUUGUGGAGGUAAGCGGAAUAUGUCAUGUAGCGGUGAAAUGCAUAGAUAUGACAUAGAACACCGAUUGCGGAGGCAGCUUGCUACGCAAAUAUUGACGCUGAGGCACGAAAGCGUGGGGAUCAAACA